AUUGAACGCUGGCGGCAGGCCUAACACAUGCAAGUCGAGCGGAUGAAGGGAGCUUGCUCCUGGAUUCAGCGGCGGACGGGUGAGUAAUGCCUAGGAAUCUGCCUGGUAGUGGGGGAUAACGUCCGGAAACGGGCGCUAAUACCGCAUACGUCCUGAGGGAGAAAGUGGGGGAUCUUCGGACCUCACGCUAUCAGAUGAGCCUAGGUCGGAUUAGCUAGUUGGUGGGGUAAAGGCCUACCAAGGCGACGAUCCGUAACUGGUCUGAGAGGAUGAUCAGUCACACUGGAACUGAGACACGGUCCAGACUCCUACGGGAGGCCGCAGUGGGGAAUAUUGCACAAUGGGCGAAAGCCUGAUCCAGCAAUGCCGCGUGUGUGAAGAAGGUCUUCGGAUUGUAAAGCACUUUAAGUUGGGAGGAAGGGCAGUAAGUUAAUACCUUGCUGUUUUGACGUUACCAACAGAAUAAGCACCGGCUAACUUCGUG
rnacentral:rRNA from 1 species